CUUUGAAUUGUUGCAGUAAAUGUUCAGAUGAUCUGUUACAAUAAGGGACACAGAAGCUAUUUUCUAACCAGCCUUCCAGCAUUACUCCACACCCGCCCCUCCCACCAAAUCACUCUAGAAAAUUUGACAACAGAGUCUAAAAUUCAUCCGGAAACCAGGAACCUGCAGUUGCUUUCUGAUGAUGUGAUAGCAGCAGGGAGCCCGUGGCAGAUCUUAUAAGUCCUCCUGAAGAGCUCUUCAAUUCCUCCUUCAGCUGCGUGGGAUAAGCCAAGUUUCCUCUCAUUUUGUGGCUUUAUAGCCUAUGAAGGCCUUAGUCCCAUCUUCUAAGGUCAACGUGGCCGCAUCUUCCAACUACGAACAUUGACAUAAAACUGCUUCUUGGACCUGGUCUUUCACUGAGAACUUCAGUCUAGCCUUCCAGUCUCCUAACCUCCUCGUCAGCUCGAAGACCUCUGCAGAAUGCCUCACAGUCUCGCAAGGCAACGCCGCCCAAGACAAAUCUGUCAACUGCAGAGAAUCUCCAGCUACUCGCUAGUAGGGCAGUUUCUCUCGAGACAAGCUGACCUGGGCAGCCACUGAGUCUCUUUCUCGCUGUCAGAACGAUUCAGAGAAGGUGGGCUCUCUUGACAAGCUUCCCUGAGUGGGCUUCACAACUAGACUCUUCACCCCCUGAGAUAAGGUCCUCUUACUCAUCUAGCAUUUCCGGUGCCUUCACCUGGCAGAGGCAAGGUCCUAAGUAAAUGUUUCUGAACUGAAGAUAACUGGACUGGGAAAAUGAGAGCAGCUCUCUGGGGAUGAUGCUAUAUCCAGGCAACAUGUUGAAACUUACAGAGAAGGCUAUGGGAUUACUGUAAUAAAAAUUUGCAGAAACUGUGUCUCUGGUAAGUACUCCAAAGUUUUGGUGGCCAACACCUUGAUUUCAACCUGUUGAGACCCUGAGCAGAGAACCCAGAUAAACUGUGCCUGGACACAGGACCCACAGAAACUGAGACGGCAAAGCUGUGUUGUUUUGAGCUGCUAAAUUUGUCACAUUGCGAUACGUAGCUAAUACAAUUGCCUAAGCUUAUAGUGCUAUAAAUAUUCUUAAAAUACAAGAGUUAAUUUUAUUUUCUCAUUUUAUAGAUUUACCGCAUAGGCAGCAGACUCUGAAUGACAUCAAUUCCUGGGACCAUAAAAUAGUUAGCAGAAGAGCUGCCGUGAGAAUUAAUAGCUUCUCAGCCCUGAGUUCGCGGCUCACUGAACAUACCAUCUGUGGCUCUGUCGCCUCUUCUGAUAGAGAAACAAAUUAUUUAGGAGACUGUGAUUUUCUUUAAAUGUUGUGCUUGUAAAAGUGGUGUCUAUAUUAUCAUUUCUAAGAAAGAAUAGGUUUUAAAAUGAAAUUUAGUGAAGCGGCAAAAGCUCAGAGUUUCUGUUCUGAAAUGGAAGAAGUCCAGAAGCAGUCGGGACCAAGCAAAAUGAAACCACGAUGAGCAGCGAGUGGAGGGCCACUGAUGGAACGCUAAGCCCCAGGGAGCAGAGUCAGACCUGAGGCAGGAACAGGGUCGGGAGAGGCGACAGUCGUCCGGCGGGAUUCAAGCAUCGCCGCGGCCUCGCCGCCGUGGGCCCCGCACCGCCCUGCUCUUUAACGGAGCGUCCACUGCGAUUCUCUGCCAACGCUGCACGAUUCCACCUUGGGAGCGCGUCCUGGGGGGAGCGUCCGACAACCUGACUUUUAAGUUCGCCAGUCUCCUGAUCAAGUGGAGCGGCACCAGAUAUAAAUCACAUAAUCAUGUAUAUAAAUAGAUAAAUCUGCAUCAGAUAGAAAUCAUGAAGUCCCCGACUUUGAACCUGAUUCCAUAAAUUAACGAUAAUUCUGGGAUGUUUUGGGAAAGGCGAUUAUUAGGAUUAAGGCAUUCGUGUGUGGAAGGCGCAUGAAUGACGGAUCUGGAAGGUGGAGCCGGCAGAGGCACUGCCUGGCCCCCUUCUGGCUCCUCCGCCACAGGCUCCGCUCCGGAGAAGCCCCCCGGGCCCGAGGUCGUCCGUCUCCCGCCGCGGGGACGCGCGGCUCAGCGGGACCCCUGCUUCGGGAUGGUGGGAAGCACCACGCAGAGGGCCGCAGGCUCCGGCCCGCGGGCCGUCGACACCUUCGUCCCCUUUUGCCCCGAGACCAGGCUGCGCCGUGGCUCUGGUCCCCCGAGGACGGAGGAUGCAGCGCAGAGGCCUCCAUCAAAGGGGCCGCUUAAAGCCGAGCCCCGAGGCAGCCGAGCCCCGAGGCAGCCGAGCCCC